rnacentral:lncRNA from 1 species
CCCGUGCUUCCUCGAAUGCUCCCUCUCUCCUUCUUUCUUCUCUCACAGUUUGGACUCAUGGUUUCUUAUUUUAUUCAAGGAGUUAAAAUCAAUUACUAUCAUUAUUGAUUUUGAUGCACAGAGAGAUCCAGAUUUGCCCUAUGGGAACUCCUGCACAGUACUUUCUGGGCCUUAUUGAUGUGCCCCCUGUUCUUUGAGCAUAUACUUCCUUUCUAGCACAGCAAGAUUUUCGAUUCGAGGCUUUUAUACUUUCCCUGUGCCAGGCCUGCAAUCAACCAUUUCUACAAGGGGCUCUAGCUCCCUUCAGAAGACAAAAUUCAAGUGCUUGAGGCUUUGAUCUCUCUCAGUGAAGACAGCCAGAGAGCAUAUCUCCCCAUGAGUUCAUACCAGUGCUGCCAAUGCCAAUCCAACACCACUGGAGUGGUUCUUUUGUCUUUUUUCAUACUUGCUACACUCCUUCCUAACAGUAGGGAGCCUGGCUUCUAUUACUUUGAUAUGCAAGGGUUUACUGAAAUAUAUAGUGAAUAUUUAAAAUUUUAAAAAUUAUUACAAUAAAAGACACAUUGCCAUUAACUCUCCUCAAGAUACUCCCCCUUAUUUUGAACACAAUUAUCCCAUUCUCCUGGCCACUUUCUGAAGCAGUUCUGGAAGUCCUCUUUCAUGAGUGUCUUUCUGAGGUGUGAUUAAAGAAACAUGGUGAAUGCUACUGCUGAGUGCCACCCAACAGAAAGGCCGGCUUGUAAAACCAUUUAGUGUGUUCUCAUUCACUACAUCUGGCACCAUGAGAUUUCUGGCUCUUUCCCAACGUCAAAAUGACCUUGAAAGGUUAAUGUUUUGAAUCAGUUCAGGACAACCAGGCAUCCACAACAGCACAAGUAAAGAUACACAUGAGAGAGGACCUCCAGAACUACUUCAGAAAGUGGCAAGAAUUAUGGGAGUCUCCAGCCUUAAUUGCAAGCUUCCAGCCCCAGCCUGGCUCUUGGAAUGUUCCCCAUGUGGAUGCAGAUCAAAACUCAGCUGGGAGAUUUCUGACCCACCCAUGGCUUCAGAGUUGGCUUAAUCCCAUCCAGCCUGCAGAUUCCACACCUCAGAGCCUGCCCUCACGCUUUCUGGAGUCUAGAUCUGGCAAACAUUUGCUAGAAAACUCAGUAGGCUCUUCAGAGAUUGAUACCUUUACACCCACUUCAUACUGACUGGCUGUGGCCUGGGGCCCCCAAAUGCUUCACCUGAAGUUCCAAGGACCUCCAGUAUACCAGGUACCCCAACCGUGCAUCUCAUCUAGUCUGAGUACAGAAGGGCGCAGCUGUUUCUCUGUUUUAUAAAAAGGAACUGGGACCUGUGAUCCCUUUCUCUGAGGCCCUGUACCGGCAGCAGGUGGGACCUAUACUUUUUACAUCUCACCUCUGUCCUGCAACGACUCUGAGCUGGUCCUCCGUGUCUUGACCUUUUCACCUAUUGGAAAUACCAAUAAGCUGCAGGUGAAGCCCAGCUCUGAUCACAGGUGCGCUUCCCUGCGGGAGGCUUUUCACUGCCAAGCACACGAUCGAAGGCCAGUUAGUGGAGUCUUGGUGCCCUCUGCUGGAUAAACCAGAGGCCACACUCUUUUUCUUCAAAACUCAUUUCCAUCCAUCACCAUCCUUCCAUCUGCCCAUCUAUCUACCCAUCCAGCUAUGAUCCAUCCAUCUAUCCAUCCACUUAUGCAUCUACCUACCUAUCCACCCAUCCACUCUUCUAUCCACCCACCCACCCAUCCAUCUUUCCAUCCAUCCAUCCACCCCUCCAUCCUGGUUUCACAUCUACCCUGUAGGUAUCUCCCACUGUCACCAGGCUUUCCACCACAGCACCCCUAGCUCUUACUCUGCACCAGGCCCUUCACAGGCAUCUGACACAGAGAGGGAAACAGAGAAGAGUGUUCCACUCCCCUAUUUGCAGGCCAUUUUCACAUCCAUUAUAUCCUUUGUCCACACAGAAGCCCUCAGCCUUGGGAUCCUGUUCAACUGAUGAGGAAACUGAAACACACAGAAGCCAAGCAGUAUGGUGCAAUACAUCUUUGGAAGCAGAGACUGGCUCCAAGUCAGUGCUUUGUCAUUUACUAAUUCUGCCACCUUGGGUGAGUAUUUUUAAGCUCUCCGAACUUCAGUCCUUCAUCCAUAAAGUUACCUAGUUUGUUAUAUAUCUACUAUGGAUAUAGUAUGUGCCUGACUUAGCUUUGGGAUGCAUCAGUGAACAAGGUGGGAGAUGUCUCUGACAUCUUCCAUCGUGAUGUUAUGAUGUUACAAUUAAGUUGGUACAUGAAAAGAGCAUCCCAUCAUGCCAUGUAUAUAAUCUUAUUGUUAUUACCUCUCUAAGGAAUAAUCAAGGAUUAGGAGAUGUUUUCCUGGGAAAAGAAAAGAUAAGAGGGUGGUUGACAUUGUAUUUUAAAAAUCAGCAUGCAUAUUGGGAUUGAGAGCAUGGAGUUUGGUUCUAAAUCCCAUCUCUGCCACCUGAGGGGAAUGUGAUCUUCAGCAGGUAAUCGCCUCCCUGUGCUUUGGUUUUCUCAGCAGAAAAAUGAGGACAACAAUUCAACACAUAUUUAUUGUAUGUCUAAUAUGUGCCACAAUGGGUCUUAGGGAUCCAGCAGAGAACAAGACAGGGAAAGUCCAUCUUGUCUUGUGGGAGUGUGACAAUUACAUGCCGACCACCUAGAAGAUUCCUAAGGAAUACGGUGAAGGCUCCAUGGGUGCCAUUUACUUCUGCCUUCUGUUUGUUGCUGCUUCUUGGCUAUGUGGGGUUGAGAGAGGAGUGGGCAGACAGUGUGGAUCAGGGACCAGGAUGCUGAGGUCAGAGCAAGGUAGGCCUCUCACUCAAGAGGAUGGAAACUUUAAGCCAAGUGGCUCCACAACCAGGAGCAGAAAGUAGCUAGCAGUAGAGAUGUGCAAGUGUGGGUGGAGACCCCACGGGAGCUCCUGCACCUUGAUGAGCUGGCAAAGAGCCCACUUAUACUUCCCUUCUUAGUCAAAGGCCUCCAUUUUUCUGAGGGACAGACAGAGUGACCUUUAACCCCCUGGGACAAACCCCUAAAACGGAGAGGGACUGACCAAGGAGGAGCUGCCUCCUGACUCUCUGCCUGCCACCUGUUGGUCUCAACCCUAAUCCCUUGACUGUUUCUAAGUCUCUGUCAGGGCCAAGGAGACCAGUUGGCAACCUGAGCACCCUUCCCAGGAAUUGCACCCCAGCCAUAGACAUGCCCUGCUCUACACUUCACCUUAACAAGCUGCGCCAUGGAUUCACACAGCACUGAGACACGGUUCCCUGCCCAGCCCUACCUAGACCGUAGAUUCUCGAGUGUGAUAAAUGGUGGUUGCUGCAACAGCCCUCCAUGUUGGAGUUGGUUUUCCAUCAUUAUGCUUAGCUAACUAAGCAUGAUACCACACUGCUUGUCUCCCUAAGAGUUCAAAGAGCUAAUAUGCUCCAAAAAUAUGACAUGUGCCUUACAUGCUUGAUUCACCUUGUGCAAGUUUCUUACCUGCCCUUGGUCUCAGUAUCCUCUUCUAUAAAAUGAGUAAAAUUGCAACCUGAGGAAAAUGCAAACCGAGACCCAUCAAUCUUCAUAGUACUCCCCAGUACCUGCCCCCUUGUCUUUAAGGUAAGAUCUAAAUUCCCAAGCCUGGUAUUUAAAUCUCUUUUUUAUUUGGUCCUUGCAGAUUUCUCCAGCAUCAUCCCUUUUCAUCUUCCCAACCACCAGAAAUGUGGCAUUCUCUGUGCCUCCAGAUUUUGGGGUAUCUUGCCUUCUCCCUCACACAUGUUCUCCUCUAAAUCUGGUGAACUGCCAUAGACGCUCCAGAUGUAGUAACAUGGUACCUCCUCCUUGAAACCUUCUUCACCAAUACUCCAGGGAGAAGGUUUCCUCUUCUAGGCUCUGUGAUCACCUUGUUCUUUCUUCUGUCAAAGCUGCUACUGACAGCGGCCAGCAGACCUGGGAACAUGCCUGCCUGGCAGGGCUGGGCACUCAGAGAAGCUGGCUACAGGGUGACCUUGCUUAGAUAAGCUGGUGAGAUCCAGGCCCCCAGCCAUAUAUGAUGGAUGGACAGCAGGGUAGAAUGCUGGGCUGGAGCCAUAGAUAAGGUUAGCCACCCCAGUGUGGACCACCGUAACGGGAGUCUCCAGAGGUCUCUGGGUGUCUAAAGUGGGAGAUAAUUAGCUGUAAGAUGGAUAGGCUCCAGAAAUAGAGCGUCUUCCAGAUCAACCCUGGAGAUUUAGGCUCAGGAUGUGAGUGCAGACCUGCCUGUCAGCUGCACAUGAUAACACCGAGCUUCUAGGCAGCUAGGCCCCCAUCUGUAUGCGCCCUGCACUCCUGGUCUCUGCACAUUUGUUUCUGCACUCUUCUCCUCAGAUACCUCCUUCCCGCUGCCCCAGAGGACUUUCCCUUCUUUUUGGCCGGGAUGAACUACAUGUGCUCUGCCUCUUUCUUCUUAUGGAGAGAAACUGUGUCUGGAGGUCUCCCAUCUACAUCCACUCUUCGCCCUUACUUGCUGUUCUGGGCCCAGGAGGCUGGACCAUGCAGACAAUAUCCAGGGGCCUUGUGCCUCUGGGUGUUGCUAGGUUUGGUGAGUGAAAAACCCUAACAGGACGUUAGACGGCCUAAGGACAUGACCUUGGAUUUCUAUUUCCCUGCCUUCUCCUCAACAGGGACAGUGUAGUCUUCAUCUAAGGUCAUUCCUUCUUUGGAGGCACCCAACUCUCUUCUUCUAGGCUCCUGAAAUCUCCCUUCCUGAAACCCCCCAGACCUGGAGAGGUGACAGUUCUGGUAUCAUUAACCUCAAUCACUGCCACAUUCUUUAUGACCCAACCACCUUUAUGAACAAGGUCUCUCAAAUUAUUCCAGCUUGACUCUACAGGGACCCUGACACGCCAAGAGCAGCCUAGAAAGUAGAGAUUGUGGACAUGAGUUGCUCCUAUUUUUCUUUUCUCAUUAAGUUCAUUGGUACAUUUUAGGUAUACAGUACAGUUACAUUCAUCAUUGGGAUCUUGUACCUUUAAAUGACAGGUCUUGGUUCUUAAUUUUUCCCCUAUACCCUUGCCCUCCCUUCACCCCCUCCACCCUUUCCUAUUUACAAAAACUUUGUUUCCAUUUUUCCUUUGCUUAUAUUUUUUCUUUCUUUUCUUUCCUCUACCCUUCCCACUUCCCCUACUCCUUUAGCCCUUUUCUUCCUAUUUCACAUUAUCAAUUAUACAAUUUAUUUAUUGAUUGAUUUUAGUUUUUUUUCUUUUAUUGAGUUUAUUGGUACAUUUAAGGUACACAGUACAAUUACAUUCAUUAUUGGGAUCUUGUACCUUUACACGACAGGUCUUGGCUCUCAUUCUUUUCCCCUUGUCCCUGCCCUCCCUUCACCCCCUCCUCCCCUCCCCAUUUACAAACACUUUAUUUCCAUUUUUUCAUUUUCUCAUAUUUUUUCUUUUCCCUUAUUACCUUUUCCCUACCCUCCCCAUUUUCCCUAAACCUUUAGCCCUUUUCUUCCUAUUUCACAUGGUCAAUUAUAUCAUUAGGAUCUUAUGUACUAUUAUAGUUUUUCACACCAGAGAAAUUAUUCGGUAUUUU